AGCUUUAUAGUCAUUAAGUGAUAUAAAAUUGCAAAUUUUAAGGGGUAAAAAUUUACUAAGGCUU
rnacentral:tRNA from 1 species